AUGAGCCGUGUGAUGGGAAACCUUCCCGCACGGUUCGGAGAGCACUGAAUUAGAAUGAGAGGUUCACCACCACAUCAUUGCAUGCAAGGGGAGCGAGCUUGUUGUUUUGUUUACACGUGGAAUGUUGUCUAAUGUCACACCCCUAUUUUCCACGUGUCACGGUGGGCCCGGUGGGGAGUAUCGUGACGUAAUUGAUAUUGUGACAACUCGACCUUUCGACUUUAAAUGCACGUUGACUUGACCAUUGACUUUGAC
rnacentral:ncRNA from 1 species